rnacentral:rRNA from 1 species
AGCUACACAUGCAAGUCGAGCGGUAGCACAGAGAGCUUGCUCUCGGGUGACGAGCGGCGGACGGGUGAGUAAUGUCUGGGAAACUGCCUGAUGGAGGGGGAUAACUACUGGAAACGGUAGCUAAUACCGCAUAACGUCGCAAGACCAAAGUGGGGGACCUUCGGGCCUCAUGCCAUCAGAUGUGCCCAGAUGGGAUUAGCUAGUAGGUGGGGUAACGGCUCACCUAGGCGACGAUCCCUAGCUGGUCUGAGAGGAUGACCAGCCACACUGGAACUGAGACACGGUCCAGACUCCUACGGGAGGCAGCAGUGGGGAAUAUUGCACAAUGGGCGCAAGCCUGAUGCAGCCAUGCCGCGUGUGUGAAGAAGGCCUUCGGGUUGUAAAGCACUUUCAGCGGGGAGGAAGGCGUUAAGGUUAAUAACCUUGUCGAUUGACGUUACCCGCAGAAGAAGCACCGGCUAACUCCGUGCCAGCAGCCGCGGUAAUACGGAGGGUGCAAGCGUUAAUCGGAAUUACUGGGCGUAAAGCGCACGCAGGCGGUCUGUCAAGUCGGAUGUGAAAUCCCCGGGCUCAACCUGGGAACUGCAUUCGAAACUGGCAGGCUAGAGUCUUGUAGAGGGGGGUAGAAUUCCAGGUGUAGCGGUGAAAUGCGUAGAGAUCUGGAGGAAUACCGGUGGCGAAGGCGGCCCCCUGGACAAAGACUGACGCUCAGGUGCGAAAGCGUGGGGAGCAAACAGGAUUAGAUACCCUGGUAGUCCACGCCGUAAACGAUGUCGAUUUGGAGGUUGUGCCCUUGAGGCGUGGCUUCCGGAGCUAACGCGUUAAAUCGACCGCCUGGGGAGUACGGCCGCAAGGUUAAAACUCAAAUGAAUUGACGGGGGCCCGCACAAGCGGUGGAGCAUGUGGUUUAAUUCGAUGCAACGCGAAGAACCUUACCUGGUCUUGACAUCCACAGAACUUUCCAGAGAUGGAUUGGUGCCUUCGGGAACUGUGAGACAGGUGCUGCAUGGCUGUCGUCAGCUCGUGUUGUGAAAUGUUGGGUUAAGUCCCGCAACGAGCGCAACCCUUAUCCUUUGUUGCCAGCGGUUAGGCCGGGAACUCAAAGGAGACUGCCAGUGAUAAACUGGAGGAAGGUGGGGAUGACGUCAAGUCAUCAUGGCCCUUACGACCAGGGCUACACACGUGCUACAAUGGCAUAUACAAAGAGAAGCGACCUCGCGAGAGCAAGCGGACCUCAUAAAGUAUGUCGUAGUCCGGAUUGGAGUCUGCAACUCGACUCCAUGAAGUCGGAAUCGCUAGUAAUCGUAGAUCAGAAUGCUACGGUGAAUACGUUCCCGGGCCUUGUACACACCGCCCGUCACACCAUGGGAGUGGGUUGCAAAAGAAGUAGGUAGCUUAACCUUCGGGAGGGCGCUACCACUUUGAUU